rnacentral:rRNA from 1 species
UACAGAGGGGGCGAGCGUUGUUCGGAAUUAUUGGGCGUAAAGGGCGUGUAGGCGGCUUCGUAAGUCUCAUUGUGAAAUCCCUCGGCUCAACUGAGGAACUGCCUUUGAAACUGUCUGGCUUGAGGCCGGGAGAGGGUAGCGGAAUUCCCAGUGUAGCGGUGAAAUGCGUAGAUACUGGGAGGAACACCGGUGGCGAAGGCGGCUACCUGGACCGGUUCUGACGCUGAUGCGCGAAAGCGUGGGUAGCAAACAGG